rnacentral:rRNA from 1 species
AGUAAACGCUGGCGGUAGGCCUAACACAUGCAAGUCGAACGGCAGCACAGUAAGAGCUUGCUCUUACGGGUGGCGAGUGGCGGACGGGUGAGGAAUACAUCGGAAUCUACUUUUUCGUGGGGGAUAACGUAGGGAAACUUACGCUAAUACCGCAUACGACCUACGGUUGAAAGCAGUGGAUCUUCGGACCUUGCUCGAUUGAAUGAGCCGAUGUCGGAUUAGCUAGUUGGCGGGGUAAAGGCCCACCAAGGCGACGAUCCGUAGCCGGUCUGAGAGGAUGAUCAGCCACACUGGAACUGAGACACGGUCCAGACUCCUACGGGAGGCAGCAGUGGGGAAUAUUGGACAAUGGGCGAAAGCCUGAUCCAGCCAUACCGCGUGGGUGAAGAAGGCCUUCGGGUUGUAAAGCCCUUUUGUUGGGAAAGAAAAGCAGCAGGUUAAUACGCCGAUGUUCUGACGGUACCCAAAGAAUAAGCACCGGCUAACUUCGUG